UCAAUUUCUAGAACUAAUUUCAGAAGCUAACACAUAUCUAAUUAUCUAUGGAAUGGGCCCUCGAUUAUGAAUUAAUUACGGUUUGCCAUUUUGUGUGUUAGUGUGGGCCAUGCUUAACAGCUGGGUUAGGCUGCUGCAUUUGGGCCCAGGGUGUAGCUCUCACGCAUUUUGGGUGAAACAUUUGGGGUGUCUGUGUUCUGCAACUCGGUGGGGGGUGGCGGUCUAGGUUGCUUUCGAUCGCGUCAAGGAGAUUGCGCAGAGAGGCAGAGGGUGACAUCGAGUUUAGGGUUUGCACAGUGAGAGACAAGAGGGUUGAUGGGAAGGGUAGGAGCUAGAGAGGGGGGUGGUGGGUUCUCUUAAGGCUUUUCCUCAACCUGGGUUCUCUGCUUUUAUCUUUCGUUUCAAGAUUUGGUUGAAAUAGAUAAAAAAACAAUGCAUGCACUCAAGGAAAUGGAAUUGCUUUCUUCCUCUUCUUGGCAACCACGUAUGCCCUCUCUCUCUCUCUCUCUCUCUCUCUCAAAUUCUUUCAUUUGGGGUCUAAGGUGAUGCCUUUUUGCCUUAAAUAUCAUUUUGUUAAAUGGCUUAUGAUAUUUUGAUUCUCUGCACAUUCUGCAUAGGUUCAAAAAGCAAAAUCUCUCUCUCUCUCUCUCUUGCUUUUUGUGGCUAAAGAUCAUGUAUAUCUUUUGGAUAAUCAAAAAGCUUGAAUCUUUACUAGGUUUCUUCAAAUUUAUUUGAAUUCUACUUUGUGAUUUUGGUUUAGAAAUGUGUAGAAUUACAGUUAAGAGGAUCAUAAGGAAGAGAAGCACAUAUCAGUUCUCAGGCAUUCCAUACAUAAUGACCAUGCUUAACUGCUUACUCUCCACUUGAUAUGUUGAUUUGCUUCUCACUCCUUCAACUACUCUCUCUCUCUCUCUCUCUUGCUUUUUGUGGCUAAAGAUCAUGUAUAUCUUUUGGAUAAUCAAAAAGCUUGAAUCUUUACUAGGUUUCUUCAAAUUUAUUUGAAUUCUACUUUGUGAUUUUGGUUUAGAAAUGUGUAGAAUUACAGUUAAGAGGAGCAUAAGGAAGAGAAGCACAUAUCAGUUCUCAGGCAUUCCAUACAUAAUGACCAUGCUUAACUGCUUACUCUCCACUUGAUAUGCUGAUUUGCUUCUCACUCCUUCAACUACUCUCUCUCUCUCUCUCUCUCUCUCUCUCUCUCUCUCUGCUGUGUAUUGCCUCAUUAGAUAUUUACAUUUGUUUAUUUAUCUCUGUAAAGUUUUCAUGCUUGGAUUUUAAAUGUAUGAUUCAAUUAGAAACCUUUGUAAUGUUGAUGUUAUAUAACAUUCAACAGAUACAUAUUCAACAUUAGGUAGCUCUGGCAAAAUCAUAUAGACUAAGAUUUGUAAUACUACAUUCUACUCUUACAUGUUAACAUCAGAAAGCAGACUAAGAUAGAUCCAAACCCAAUCUUAUUAAUUAAAGUUAACGGAAAGAAAAUGAUUUAUGCAUACCUUUGUUUAUUUGCUACUUGAUUUUGGUUUAGGUUGACCAUAGCUAAAACAUCCAAGACUCACCUAAUACCUAAUUUGAGGAAGACCCUAUCGUUUUUAGCCUUUAGGUGUGUGUUUGCUAGCUAGCUAGCUGGGUGGUGGCUGAGUCUUGGAUGUCUUCAUUAUCUUGGUGGGUGAGUCUUGGAUGUGUUGGUUCCUGUCUUCUUCGACUCUUAUAUCUUCCCUUUUUCUGAAUUUUUUUAUUUCUCAUCCUUUAAAUUUUGUAUUUUUUGAAAAAAUAUUUAUUUUUUUGGUGAUGCAGAUAGAUGAACAUGUUCAAGGGGAAAUCAUGAACCACAGAUCACUGCAUCCGAAUAUCAUUUGAUUCAAAGAGGUCAGUGAUCAUAAACUAUUUUCAUUUUGCAUUUUAAGAAUGAAUUUGACAAGUUCUGUUUGAAUUUUGUAUAAGUAUCUGCUGAGGGUGGGUGGAUGAAGACAGAACAUGCUAAAUUGUGCUUAAACUGGUACGGGGUAUGGUUAAACAUUGAGCCCAGGAUGCAGUAGGACUAAGAGAAAUGCCCUACCCACCGGAGCAAUCCACCACUUGCAGAAUUGUUGUCAAAAUAACUCUGCUAAAAACAUGAGCUAUACUUCCUGCACUUUGUUUUUUACUGUGAAGUGGAAAUAGUCUUUAGAGUGGCUUAUUUGUGAUAAUUGAUAAAGAGGUUUGUGUUUAAGACUUGUUAGUUCCUGCACUCUGCGGUGUCUUUCUUGCUGGUUCUGCUCACACCACCUCAUCUAGCCAUUGUGAUGGAGUACUCGGCUGGGUGAGAACUCUUCGAGAGAAUAUGCAGUGCUGGCAGAUUUAGUGAGGAUGAGAUAAAGUAGUUUCAAAUGCACAGAAAACUUCAUUGGAAUGAUUUUAGUGUAGAGUCUCAAAUAUGGGAUCUCUGAAUGUCCCCUGAAAUGGAAUCCAUCUCGAUUUUCCUUUAGUUUCAGAUAGGGAAAGUUAGGUCUGAAGCAUUUUUACAUAAGCAGUUAGUCAUAAUAUAACUAAAACUUGCAUACUUUUUCGAUUUAAUUGUUGUUUUGCAUCAGGCAAGGUUUUUCUUCCAGCAGUUGAUAUCAGGAGUUAGUCGCUGUCAUUUGAUGGUAUGUAAUGUGGCACUUUUCUGCUAAUGCGUUGUGUACUGUUAUUUCUUUCUCUUUUGAUAUUGUUAGUGUUGGUUGUAGUAAGGAAAUAAUUCGUUUCAAUAGUAUACGACUUAGUUUUAAUAGUA